CAGGAAACUUGGCUCUACUCACUGCA
rnacentral:piRNA from 1 species